UUCUUAGAUGACUGAGAAAUAAGUGCUAGAUUUUUAAUCUAGAGACGGCAAAAUUUGCCUCUAAGAACCAACUGGAAG
rnacentral:tRNA from 1 species